AACGAACGCUGGCGGCAUGCCUAACACAUGCAAGUCGAACGAGACCUUCGGGCCUAGUGGCGCACGGGUGCGUAACGCGUGGGAACCUGCCCUUAGGUUCGGAAUAACUCCCCGAAAGGGGUGCUAAUACCGGAUAAUGUCUUCGGACCAAAGAUUUAUCGCCUUUGGAUGGGCCCGCGUUGGAUUAGCUAGUUGGUAGGGUAAAAGCCUACCAAGGCGACGAUGCAUAGCUGGUCUGAGAGCAUGAUCAGCCACACUGGGACUGAGACACGGCCCAGACUCCUACGGGAGGGAGCAGUGGGGAAUAUUGGACAAUGGGCGAAAGCCUGAUCCAGCAAUGCCGCGUGAGUGAUGAAGGCCUUAGGGUUGUAAAGCUCUUUUACCCGGGAUGAUAAUGACAGUACCGGGAGAAUAAGCUCCGGCUAACUCCGUG
rnacentral:rRNA from 1 species